rnacentral:lncRNA from 1 species
UAAUCCUCUUCUAGCUAGAUUGGAUCUAAGCUAUUAACAUGUAAAUCAUGAAUGGGGAGAAGAGUUAGGGUUUACCUAGCUCCGAUAAGUCGUGAAAUAUUUCCGGCGAGCUGCUGUGUCUGCUCUGGUGGCGCAGUGCGACGACGAGCUGUCAGUCCCCCCCUCCUCCGGUGCCACUGCUAUCUGGCUCCUUGCACAGAAGGGAGAAGGUGAGGAGUAGGGAGAGUGUAGUCGAUGGGGUCCUGUACUCAGGACUCCAUGGGUUUUUAUAACCCUCCAUCAAUCUCAGAGGGGUGGGGGACCGCGGCUGUUAGG